GCGGCAUAGCCAAGCGGUAAGGCACAGGUCUGCAACACCUUUAUCACCGGUUCGAUUCCGGUUGCCGC
rnacentral:tRNA from 1 species